UUUAAACCUCUUCCAGAGUAUCAAUUGGAGGGCAAGUCUGGUGCCAGCAGCCGCGGUAAUUCCAGCUCCAAUAGCGUAUAUUAAAAUUGUUGCAGUUAAAAAGCUCGUAGUUGAAUUUCUGCCGCAUCGCGGCGGCCCUCCCGGGCCCAGCGUUGCGGCUUAUUUCGGACUCGCUUGCGUCUCCGAAUGUUUACUUUGAGAAAAUUAGAGUGCUCAAAGCAGGCCCUUGCCUUGAAUACUUUAGCAUGGAAUAAUAAAGUAGGACUUUGGUUCUAUUUUGUUGGUUUAGCGCCAAAGUAAUGGUUAAUAGGAACAGUUGGGGGCAUUCGUAUUUAACUGUCAGAGGUGAAAUUCUUAGAUUUGUUAAAGACGAACCACUGCGAAAGCAUUUGCCAAGGAUGUUUUCAUUAAUCAAGAACGAAAGUUAGGGGAUCGAAGACGAUCAGAUACCGUCGUAGUCCUAACCAUAAACCAUGCCGACUAGAGAUUGGAGGUCGUCAGUUUUUACGACUCCUUCAGCACCUUGAGAGAAAUCAAAGACUGUGGGUUCUGGGGGGAGUAUGGUCGCAAGGCUGAAACU
rnacentral:rRNA from 1 species